rnacentral:tRNA from 1 species
UCUCUGGUGGCUUAAUGGUAAAGAAUCUGCCUGCAAUGCAGGAGGCCCAGAUUUGAUUCCUGGGUUUAGAA